rnacentral:rRNA from 1 species
AGCGAACGCUGGCUGCAGGCCUAACACAUGCAAGUCGAACGAAGUCUUCGGACUUAGUGGCGGACAGGUGAGUAACACGUGGGAACGUGCCUUUAGGUUCGGAAUAACUCAGGGAAACAUGUGCUAAUACCGAAUGUGCCCUCCGGGGGAACGACUUGAUCGCCUUUAGAGCGGCCCGCGUCUGAGUAGCUAGUUGGUGAGGUAAAGGCUCACCAAGGCUACGAUCAGUAGCUGGUCUGAGAGGAUGACCAGCCACAUUGCGACUGAGACACGGCCCAAACUCCUACGGGAGGCAGCAGUGGGGAAUCUUGCGCAAUGGGCGAAAGCCUGACGCAGCCAUGCCGCGUGUAUGAUGAAGGUCUUAGGAUUGUAAAAUACUUUCACCGGUGAAGAUAAUGACUGUAGCCGGAGAAGAAGCCCCGGCUAACUUCGUGCCAGCAGCCGCAGUAAAAC